rnacentral:rRNA from 1 species
UUAGUGGAAGCGUCUGGAAAGGCGCGCGAUACAGGGUGACAGCCCCGUACACAAAAGCGCAUGUGCUGUGAGCUCGAUGAGUAGGGCGGGACACGUGGUAUCCUGUCUGAAUAUGGGGGGACCAUCCUCCAAGGCUAAAUACUCCUGACUGACCGAUAGUGAACCAGUACCGUGAGGGAAAGGCGAAAAGAACCCCGGCGAGGGGAGUGAAAAAGAACCUGAAACCGUGUACGUACAAGCAGUGGGAGCCCCACCACUAAGCCAGUGGUGAACUCCACAUACGCAUCCUUUGCUGAGGAUACGGUUAACGGAGCGAAAGCGACGUUCAACCUCAAAAGAAGCAGAGGGGGCUUAGUGGUGGGGUGACUGCGUACCUUUUGUAUAAUGGGUCAGCGACUUAUAUUCUGUAGCAAGGUUAACCGAAUAGGGGAGCCGGAGGGAAACCGAGUCUUAAUUGGGCGUUAAGUUGCAGGGUAUAGACCCGAAACCCGGUGAUCUAGCCAUGGGCAGGUUGAAGGUUGGGUAACACUAACUGGAGGACCGAACCGACUAAUGUUGAAAAAUUAGCGGAUGACCUGUGGCUGGGGGUGAAAGGCCAAUCAAACCGGGAG